UUAUUAAUAAUAUUGUUAAGUGAAGGGGGCGCUGCUGGUGAAAUUGGCGGGAAAUGAUGACGCGUGAGGCGCGUACGGGCAACGCCUAGUUAGUUGGAAGGACACUGUGGCAGUGUCAAUGUCGUUGUUGAAUCUAAUUUGCUAAUAAAUUAGUUUUUGGGUGAAUUCCGAGUUUCAUUUACAGAGCAGCGGUGGGAUAUUGCUCAAAUAAUCGUUUCCGAUAGAGAGUGGUGAAUUGUGGUGAUUUUGUGAGGAAUUUGUGGGUCGCCAAGACAAGGGCAAAAAAUUGAAGUUUUGGGAAUCUGUACCGUUUCAUUGGUAACAAAAUUGUGUUUUACGACUUGAAAUCGAACAAAUCAAUCGGGUGCUAGCCGAAUUUAUCUGGUUUUUCUGAUUUCUGACGAGUUCUAGGAGUUACGCAACCACACGCUGUCAAUUUUCAUUUGGGUGUGGCUCAAAAGGCGCGAAAAGUUUUCUGGUGAGAUUUUCGCAAUGGGGCGUCACAGGUACCGAGGAAAUGUGGACUCGGACGACUCGGACUCAAGUGACGAUGAGCCACGGCCGAAAAGGUCCGCGCCUGGGGUCUCCACUACAGUAAAUUCACCCCCAGUUUCGGCCGAGUCCGCUAGAAUGGGUGGAAAGGAGCUUAUUACGUUGAAGGGUGUCAACGUCCGAGACCAGGGUUCGAACACGUUGUUCAUCGGUGUGUCACAUGUGAUGGAGGCCUAGUGACCGUUCGCAAUCUAUCGCACCAAGAUCUGGUCUAUCGAAAGGCGCAAAUCGUUACGAGAGCUGAGCCUUGCGAGCAGGAAAGGACAGCUACGACGAAACACCGGUGGUUCCCCGAGGACGUGGAACACGGAAGCGUGGCCGACUGUUAAGUGAAGGGGGCGCUGCUGGUGAAAUUGGCGGGAAAUGAUGACGCGUGAGGCGCGUACGGGCAACGCCUAGUUAGUUGGAAGGACACUGUGGCAGUGUCAAUGUCGUUGUUGAAUCUAAUUUGCUAAUAAAUUAGUUUUUGGGUGAA